GCUUUUCCGCGUGACUGGCGAAACGGAUGGCGACCCAUCGGUAAGCGCGGAACUUCGCGCCGCCCGCCUCGGCAACCCUU
rnacentral:ncRNA from 2 species